GUGAGGAAUUUUCCGCAAUGGGCGAAAGCCUGACGGAGCAAUGCCGCGUGAAGGAUGAAGGCCUAUGGGUUGUAAACUUCUUUUCUCAGAAAAGAAUUAUGACGGUAUCUGAGGAAUAAGCAUCGGCUAACUCUGUGCCAGCAGCCGCGGUAAGACAGAGGAUGCAAGCGUUAUCCGGAAUGAUUGGGCGUAAAGCGUCUGUAGGUUGUUUAAAAAGUAUUCUGUCAAAGAUUAGGGCUUAACCCUAGAUAGGCAGAAUAAACUUUUAAGCUAGAGUUUGGUAGAGGCAGAGGGAAUUCCCGGUGGAGCGGUGAAAUGCGUAGAUAUCGGGAGGAACACCAAAGGCGAAGGCACUCUGAUGGGCCAAUACUAACACUGAGAGACGAAAGCGAGGGGAGCAAAUGGGAUUAGAAACCCGGGUAGUCC
rnacentral:rRNA from 1 species